GAUGAACGCUGGCGGCGUGCCUAAUACAUGCAAGUCGAGCGGACAGACGAUGAGCUUGCUGCUCUCUCGUUAGCGGCACACGGGUGAGUCACAUGUGGAUAACCCCCCUAUAAGACUGGGAUAACUUCGGGAAUCCGGAGCUAAUACCGGAUGAGCUCUUGAUCCGCGUGGGUCAUUAGAGAAUGACGGUUUUGCUGGAAGUUCUAGCUGGUUACGCGCCGGUUUAGCUAGUUGGUAGGGUAACGGCUUACGAAGGCAACGAUGCGUAGCCGAUCUGUGAGGGUGGUAGGCCACCCUGGAGCUGAGACACGGUCCAGGCGCCUACGGGAGGCAGCAGAAGGGAAUGUGACGCAAUGGGCGGGAGCAUGACGGAGCAAGGCCGCGUGAGUGAUAACGGUCCUCGGAUCGUAAAACUCUGUUAUUAGGGAAGAACAAAUGUGGAAGUAACUGUGCACGUCUUGACGGUACCUGAUCAGAAAGCACCGGCUAACUACGUG
rnacentral:rRNA from 1 species